GGCUAGUACUUCGCUACAUUGGAAAUCACAUCCGUUACUCAGUAAAAAAAACAAAAAAAACACUGCAAUAACUUUUUGGAGUUAUCACAUUAAUUUAAGACUCCAAACUGUUCAUUGGUAGAGUGCCUCCAGCAAAACUGUUGCAAUAUGCAUCAAAUGCAUUUAUUUGUAUGGCACAGGAUGUAAAACUCAGCUGUCAGCUAAGGUGAUCAACCGAUUGACGCUGGAUAAAGUGACGAAACGGCAAGGAGUGACAGGAUUAUCAAUGAAUAACAUUACUUUCUGACGGGCUAAGGUAGUUGUUGUCAACUUGCUAUUGUUAGCUUCAGUUUUAUGGCUCCA